rnacentral:tRNA from 2 species
AGGAGUUUAGGUUAUCUAGACCAGGGGCCUUCAAAGCCCCAAGAAAAUAUUAUUUAUUUAACUCCUG